UACGUAGGGAGCAAGCGUUGUCCGGAAUCAUUGGGCGUAAAGCGCGCGUAGGUGGCCUCAUAAGUCCGCUGUGAAAGUCAAAGGCUCAACCUUUGAAAGCCGGUGGAUACUGUGGGGCUAGAGUACGGAAGAGGCGAGUGGAAUUCCUGGUGUAGCGGUGGAAUGCGCAGAUAUCAGGAGGAACACCAAUAGCGAAGGCAGCUCGCUGGGACGUUACUGACACUGAGGCGCGAAAGCGUGGGGAACGAACAGG
rnacentral:rRNA from 1 species